rnacentral:rRNA from 1 species
GUCCACGCCGUAAAACGAUGUCUACUAGCCGUUGGAGUCCUUGAGGCUUUAGUGGCGCAGCUAACGCACUAAGUAGACCGCCUGGGGAGUACUGUCGCAAGAUUAAAACUCAAAUGAAUUGACGGGGGCCCGCACAAGCGGUGGAGCAUGUGGUUUAAUUCGACGCAACGCGAAGAACCUUACCAGGUCUUGACAUCCAGAGAACUUUCCAGAGAUGGAUUGGUGCCUUCUGGAACUCUGAGACAGGUGCUGCAUGGCUGUCGU